GGACGGAUUCCUGAUGCACUGGAGGCACUGGAGAUAAUUUACAUCAGAUUAUAGGGACAGAGGCCAGGAGUCAACUGUGAGACGAGCGAGCGUUAGGAAAAGGGUUAAAACGUUAAGACCCUAGGAGGCCUUCCAUUCGCCUGCGUCACUCGUCCCCAUCCUCACGCCUGUUCGCUUUCUCCUUUCUCCGAUUUGGUCCUCCCAUCCCCUGGGCCGCACCGGCUGGGCCGCUACAGCUGCGGAAACGCCUGGGGGAGUCGGAAGAUCGGGUGGUGAAGCUCCAGACGAUGCUGCCGGACCAUGACGGGGAGUUCCGGGGCCUUCGAGCGGAGGUUGAGGAGCUGGAGCGGGUAUGUGCGCGUGAGGCUGUGUGUGCACGCACGUGUGGAUUUCAGGGAGAGAAGGAAACGGCAAGCCUGCUAAGUGAAGUGGAAAAGAUGGCAUGGGUGGAGCGGCCGAUUCCAUUACCACCCGAACGGGAGCUUGGGUCAUCUGCCGGUGUUGGAGAGGGAGAGACAGCAAGUGAUGCAAGGUUUGCGGGAAGCUGCGGCCGCUGACAUUGCAUCCGUUGCAACGGAUAUGGUAAAGAUCCUGAUGUAUAAUGAACCCUCCUCCCAAAUUGGUUCUCCGCUAGGGGCAUGUUGGCAUGCCGCGUGAUGCGUUGUGCUGCAUCUGGCUUGGGCUUGCUCUCACCUUCAGGAGGCGGACCACUUCUGCGACCUGUAUGAACGG
rnacentral:lncRNA from 1 species